CCUCGUGUUUAGCCCCCUAAAGUCAUGGGGGAGAGCUGCCUCAAUCGAAAAGCUGGAGGGAAAUUGGUGCCAAAAAGCCACGUUAAGGUAGUGGGCAGCUCUCCCCUCUGACUUUAGAGGGCUAAAGGCCAUAGGGACGCCAUCGAUAAGGGGCAAUCUGAUACUUAACCCUUUAAAAAAAUAAAUUAUAUUUUACAAAUAUGGAUAGAGAAUUAAUUGAAAAUAUUGUUAUCAACUCGAUUAUUCAUCUUUUUCCAUCUAUAAAAGUGGCCAAAGAUAUAUAUUACAGAAAUGUUAAAUCAUAAAAUAAUUGAAAUAUAUACUAUUAAGAAUUUGAUCACUUAGCGCAAACUUCUAUUGCUUCACUCCAUUGUUUCAAAUAUAGAUUUUCGUUUCCCCAUAAAACAAAACAGAUGGAGUGAUACAUAUGCUAAUCAUAAUAUGAUAACCUGUAGCACGCAAGAAAAUAGAGCUCAUAGAUGUGCAACAAAUAUUGUAAGUAGACCAAUAUAGUAAAAUAUUAGCAAUAAGAUUUUAUCAUAUUUCAAUAUUCAACUAAAAAUGCACAAUUAAAGAAAUCUAGCUUCGCUAUGUACAAGCAACCCACCUCUUAAUAAUGACAUUACAUGCAUAACAACCAAUCUCUUACGCACUCUCCUGUCAUCUUUUUAAGAACCAACUNCAAACCGAAUAAAUGAAAAUUAUUUGAAAGCAAAAAACCAAGGAAAAUAAACUCAAAAUUAAAUAAAAACAUAAAUAUUAAAAAUCAUAAUAAAUCAGCACAUUAACAGAAAAAGCCUAAUUUAUUUUCACUUAAUACAUAUCAUUGUCGAGACAAAUUCUGACCAACGCCAUUUGAAAAAUCUGGAUCCCAGCAUAGCACAUUCGAAUCUAUGGAAUACUCUCAAUUAAUCACCAGGGUUACGAAAAAGAAACCUGAGUUCUUUUUAGUUCGAGACUGCAAGGAAAAAAAUUAAUUACCGUGGAGUGGUCGAAAACAAAGAUGAAGAGCAUAUUGAAGAUAAUCAAAUCUCUAGGGCUAAUCACCUUAAGCGGCGUACAAAGGAAUUGGGACUAGAGUGAAG
rnacentral:lncRNA from 1 species